CUUGCACAAUGGGGGCAACCCUGAUGCAGCGACGCCGCGUGAGCGAUGAAGCCCUUCGGGGUGUAAAGCUCUUUCGUCAGGGACGAUAAUGACGGUACCUGGAGAAGCAGCUGCGGCUAACUACGUGCCAGCAGCCGCGGUAAUACGUAGGCAGCGAGCGUUGUUCGGAGUUACUGGGCGUAAAGGGUGUGUAGGCGGUUUUCUAAGUUUGGUGUGAAAUCUCCCGGCUCAACCGGGAGGGUGCGCCGAAAACUGGGAGACUAGAGUGCGGGAUGGGAGAGUAGAAUUCCUGGUGUAGCGGUGAAAUGCGUAGAUAUCAGGAGGAAUACCGGUGGUGUAGACGGCUCUCUGGACCGCCACUGACGCUGAGACACGAAAGCGUGGGUAGCAAACAGGAUUAGAUACCCUGGUAGUCCACGCCCUAAACGAUGCAUAUUUGGUGUAGGUCAUUCAGUUGAUCUGUGCCGGAGCUAACGCGUUAAAUAUGCCGCCUGGGGAGUACAGUCGCAAGGCUGAAACUCAAAGGAAUUGACGGGGGCCCGCACAAGCGGUGGAGCAUGUGGUUCAAUUCGACGCAACGCGAAGGACCUUACCUGGGCUCGAACGGCUGGUUAACGGCAUUGGAAACAGUGCUACUCCGCAAGGAGGUCCAGUCGAGGUGCUGCAUGGCUGUCGUCAGCUCGUGUCGUGAGAUGUUGGGUUAAGUCCCGCAACGAGCGCAACCCUUGUCCUGUGUUGCCAUCCCGCAAGGGGGGACUCGCAGGAGACCGCCAGCGAUAAGCUGGAGGAAGGUGGGGAUGACGUCAAGUCCUCAUGGCCCUUACGGCCAGGGCUACACACGUGCUACAAUGGCCGGUACAAAGGGUUGCCAACCCGCGAGGGGGAGCCAAUCCCAUAAAGCCGGUCGUAGUCCGGAUCGCAGUCUGCAACUCGACUGCGUGAAGUCGGAAUCGCUAGUAAUCGCGAAUCAGCCAUGUCGCGGUGAAUACGUUCCCGGGCCUUGUACACAC
rnacentral:rRNA from 1 species